UAGGGAAUCUUCGGCAAUGGGGGGAACCCUGACCGAGCAACGCCGCGUGAGUGAAGAAGGUUUUCGGAUCGUAAAGCUCUGUUGUUAAGGAAGAACGAGUGUGAGAAUGGAAAGUUCAUGCUGUGACGGUACUUAACCAGAAAGGGACGGCUAACUACGUGCCAGCAGCCGCGGUAAUACGUAGGUCCCGAGCGUUGUCCGGAUUUAUUGGGCGUAAAGCGAGCGCAGGCGGUUAGAAAAGUCUGAAGUGAAAGGCAGUGGCUCAACCAUUGUAGGCUUUGGAAACUGUUUAACUUGGGGGCAGAAGGGGAGAGUGGAAUUCCAUGUGUAGCGGUGAAAUGCGUAGAUAUAUGGAGGAACACCGGUGGCGAAAGCGGCUCUCUGGUCUGUAACUGACGCUGAGGCUCGAAAGCGUGGGGAGCGAACAGG
rnacentral:rRNA from 1 species